rnacentral:rRNA from 1 species
AGUGAACGCUGGCGGUAGGCCUAACACAUGCCAGUCGAACGGCAGCACAGUAAGAGCUUGCUCUUACGGGUGGCGAGUGGCGGACGGGUGAGGAAUACAUCGGAAUCUACUUUUUCGUGGGGGAUAACGUAGGGAAACUUACGCUAAUACCGCAUACGACCUACGGGUGAAAGCAGGGGAACUUCGGACCUUGCGCGAUUGAAUGAGCCGAUGUCGGAUUAGCUAGUUGGCGGGGUAAAGGCCCACCAAGGCGACGAUCCGUAGCUGGUCUGAGAGGAUGAUCAGCCACACUGGAACUGAGACACGGUCCAGACUCCUACGGGAGGCAGCAGUGGGGAAUAUUGGACAAUGGGCGCAAGCCUGAUCCAGCCAUACCGCGUGGGUGAAGAAGGCCUUCGGGUUGUAAAGCCCUUUUGUUGGGAAAGAAAAGCAGCAGGUUAAUACCCCGCUGUUCUGACGGUACCCAAUGAAUAAGCACCGGCUAACUUCGUG